AGAGUUUGAUCCUGGCUCAGAACGAACGCUGGCGGCAGGCUUAACACAUGCAAGUCGAACGCAUCCUUCGGGGUGAGUGGCAGACGGGUGAGUAACGCGUGGGAACGUGCCCUUCAGUUCGGAAUAACCCAGGGAAACUUGGGCUAAUACCGGAUACGUGCGAGAGCAGAAAGAUUUAUCGCUGAAGGAUCGGCCCGCGUCUGAUUAGCUAGUUGGUGAGGUAAUGGCUCACCAAGGCGACGAUCAGUAGCUGGUCUGAGAGGAUGAUCAGCCACAUUGGGACUGAGACACGGCCCAAACUCCUACGGGAGGCAGCAGUGGGGAAUAUUGGACAAUGGGCGCAAGCCUGAUCCAGCCAUGCCGCGUGAGUGAUGAAGGCCUUAGGGUUGUAAAGCUCUUUCGUCCGGGACGAUAAUGACGGUACCGGAAGAAGAAGCCCCGGCUAACUUCGUGCCAGCAGCCGCGGUAAUACGAAGGGGGCUAGCGUUGUUCGGAAUCACUGGGCGUAAAGGGCGCGUAGGCGGCUUGAUAAGUCGGGGGUGAAAGCCUGUGGCUCAACCACAGAAUUGCCUUCGAUACUGUCUGGCUUGAGACCGGAAGAGGUAAGUGGAACUGCGAGUGUAGAGGUGAAAUUCGUAGAUAUUCGCAAGAACACCAGUGGCGAAGGCGGCUUACUGGUCCGGUUCUGACGCUGAGGCGCGAAAGCGUGGGGAGCAAACAGGAUUAGAUACCCCUGUAGUCC
rnacentral:rRNA from 2 species